GGAUAAGCGCUGAAAGCAUCUAAGUGCGAAGCCCACCUCAAGAUGAGAUUUCCCAUGAUUUUAUAUCAGUAAGAGCCCUGAGAGAUGAUCAGGUAGAUAGGUUAGGAGUGUAAUUGUGGUGACACAUUUAGCGGACUAAUACUAAUAGCUCGAGGACUUAUCCAAAA
rnacentral:rRNA from 2 species